CUUUGGCGCAGUUGGUAGAGCAUCAGUCUGCAAGCUCAAGGUCCUGAGUUCGAUUCUCAGAAG
rnacentral:tRNA from 1 species